AACGCGAAGAAUCCUUACCCACGCUUGAACAGCGAGUGACAAACUACGAAAGUGGUCUUCCGCAAGGACACUCGUAGAGGUGCUGCAUGGCUGUCGUCAGCUCGUGUCGUGAGAUGUUGGGUUAAGUCCCGCAACGAGCGCAACCCUUGUCUGCUGUUGCCAUCAGGUUAAGCUGGGCACUCUGCAGAGACUGCCGGUGAUAAACCGGAGGAAGGUGGGGAUGACGUCAAGUCAGCAUGGCCUUUAUGUCUGGGGCUACACACGUGCUACAAUGGCCGGUACAAACCGUCGCAAAACCGCAAGGUGGAGCUAAUCGGAGAAAGCCGGUCUCAGUUCGGAUAGCAGGCUGCAACUCGCCUGCUUGAAGUUGGAAUCGCUAGUAAUCGCGGAUCAGCACGCCGCGGUGAAUACGUUCCCGGGUCUUGUACACACCG
rnacentral:rRNA from 1 species